rnacentral:lncRNA from 1 species
CAGCUGGUUUCUCUGGGUAAUGAUGACUGAAGAUCCGAGCAGUAGCUGCUUAAACACACAGUAGCUGCUUAAACACACCCACUCUGUGGAGGUACUUACACCGUCCUCUCUGACGGAGUGCCUGAGCACCUCGCGGCCUGCGUUGGAUCCACCUCCAGACAGGGAGGAGAACAUCUCAGCUGGGAGGGCUAAGCUAAUUACACUGGCAUGGAAGCAGAGCCCACGGGAGAGAGAUUGCCCAGCCUUUCUCCAGACGCCGUGUGAGGAAAGCCAUGCAAACCCUCCAGCUUUGCCCAUCCAGGACAGCAUGGCCUCAGGUGAGUAGGAGAGGCAGCAGGGUGCUUUCUGGUGGUGCAGACACAGGCUCUGCUGCUUCAGGUGAGCCUCAUGAAAUCCCACUUGCAGGGGAAAGUUCUGCAAAACAAGAGCUGGGGCUUGGAGAGACUGCAGCUGGCAGCCAUGGGAAUAUUUAGACCUCUGUCUUCCGUCAGGGUGAGUUUAGGCACUAGACUUGAGAAAGCAGAGAAAAGCUGACAAUGUGUACCAUGGUGCCUUGGGGUUUGGUACUGCAC